AAGGGAAGAGACAGGAGUUUGGGCGAUGUUGUUGCCCAAACUCCUGUCUCUUCCCUU
rnacentral:pre_miRNA from 1 species